rnacentral:tRNA from 1 species
CUAAGAGACUUAGGUUAUUCACUAAACCAAGGACCUUCAAAGUCCUAAACAGGGCCACCACCCCUAGCCUCUG